UAGGUGUUCAAUAAGAUAGAAAAGUCUUGUUAAUAAAAGGAAUGCUAAUCCCUUUUGUAGAGGGAUUCUGUACAGCAUGAAGAUCAGAACAAGGAAACAAGAAUUUGUUUCCUAUAUGGAUUUUGAUAGGGAAUCCUAAUCAGUUAUGGUAAAGAUUAUAUGUAUAUAUAUAGUGGCCUCUCUUCUCACAGGGACAUGCUCAUUAUUUUGGACUUAAUCCUAUUUAUAAGUCGAGCUCUUGAUAACCUGCGAGAGAAGAGAAGGUACACUGAAAGCUUGCUGCUAUGGCUUCGGGUUCUGCUACAAGUGCAGGUAUGUUCUUCUUGCUGUGUUUUUUCAUAUACAUAAAUUGAAUAUUUCUCUCUAAGUUGUAGUUCAUGUUUUGGUCUUGGUGAUUAUGAUUAAGGGUCUUACAUGUGGUAUCAGAGCCACAAGACAUAUCAACAUGAGUUCAAUUUGUAAAGAAGAAAUUUUGUAUGUUACUAUAAAAAAAUAAAAAAAUAAAAAAAUAAAAAAAAAUAAAAAAAAAAUAAAAAAAAUAAAAAAAUUUUCUUUUAUACUCUUAUGAAGAAUCGAAGUCUGGUUCUGGAGGAAAUAAAAGAAGCGGUAAUGUAAACCGUCAAAGGAACCCUUAGGUUAUUAUCGAGUGAAGGUUUUCCAGAUUUUAGAAAGCAAUGCUUUCUUCUAUAAACAUCGAUCUGGGUUUUUCCUUUCCAACCCUCAAAUCUUCUAUUAUUUUCAAAUUCUAAAUCGCUUCCGCUGCCCGAUUCGUGAAUUUGAGUUAUAAUGAUUAAAAGGUAUGUUGUUAAUUGCUUUGAAUCCUUUGGGCAAAUGUAUAGAUGAAUGUGUUUACUUUCCCGGUUCAUCGACUGCAAUAAUGAGUCGUAUGCAGAUGUAUUUUGAUCUUUUAAAAUACAAAUGCAGACCUUAAUUAACCAUUCGGUGCAUUCUUUGAUCACUUUCAAAAUGCUUUUUACAUGUAUGAGACACCAUUAAACCAUUUGGUGUCUAAGGAUAUAUGGCAGAAAUCAGCGGAUCGUUUUUCAAGUUCUUGCUUAAUCAUUCCACUCUAUGUAUGCUUAUCAACAGAUUGUUGAUUAAGACUAUAUAUAUGGGUUUGUGAUUAUAGUCAUGAUGUGCAAAGUGAUGUUGAGAUGAAAUCAGGAACUAAUAAGUUCAAAUUGUGAUUUCAUUGCAGGUUCAACAUCUGCAAUAUCGUUCCGGACUAUGAACUUGGCAAACAUUCCUGUUCUCACAGGGGGAAGCAACUACAAGAAGUGGAGACGUGAGAUUGGGCUCUUAUUGACACUCAAUGACAUUGACAUAGCCCUUGAAACUCCCAAGCCGAUUCUGACUGAUCAAAGUACAAGGGCUGAGAAAGCUGAUGCAGAGAGAUGGGUCAGAGCGAACAAAGUGGCACUUUCUAUACUUGAAAGUGCCAUGACUGAUACUGUUUGCGAUGGAAUCAAGAAGCAUGAACUAGCUAUUGAGUAUUUACAAGCAAUUGAAAGAAAGUUCAAAGAAUCUCAGAAGGCAGAAAUCAGUCACUAUAUGGCAAUGCUGACCACAUACAAGAUUGAUGGCAUAGGGUCAAUCAGAGACCAUAUCUUGAAAAUGACUGAUGCAGCUGAGAAAUUAAAUUCUUUAGAUGUUAAUAUUGGUGAAAAACAGUUAGUUUUCAUGAUCCUUCAAGCUCUUCCAAACAAAUAUAGUCAGUUAAAGGUGUCUUACAACACUCAAGACAAGAACUGGGAUGUUGAUGAGCUAAUAGCACAGUGCGUUCAAGAAGAGGCUAGACAAAAGCAAGAAAGAGGGAAAGAAACUGAAACGGUGAAUUUUGUGCAACCAGACAAGGGGAAGAAAUCAUUCAAGUCAUUCUCUGGAAACUCUGGUAAGAACAAUAAUACCAAGGUAACCUCUUUUAAGUCUACUGCAUCUGCCAAAGUAAAGGACUCUAUUAAGGGAUCUAGCAAUCUUAUGGUCAAAACUAAAAAUAUUGCCAAACUCAGAUGUUUUUUCUGCAAAACUAAAGGACACUUAAGAAAAGAUUGUCAAGUUUUUCAGGACUAUCUUAAAAGUAAGGGUGUAGAAAAUGUCAAUGUCUGUGUUGAGUCUAAUUUGAUUGAAAUCCCUGUGAAUUCUUGGUGGUUUGAUACCGGUUGCUCAGUUCACAUUUCAAAUUCUUUGGAGGGUUUUGUGAAAUCAAAACAAACUGGUUUUAAAAUUAUAAUGUCUUUGUGGGAGAAGGUACUAAAGUUACGGUAGAAGCUAUAGGUAUGGUGUGUUUAAAAUUGUCUUCUGGUUUUAUACUAAAACUAAAGGAUGUACUUUAUGUGCCUAAAAUGAGGAGAAAUCUGAUCUCUGCUUCAAGAAUUGUCAAAGACGGUUUUGCCUUUCUAGGUGAUGAUGAAAGUUUAAAAAUUUUUUAGAAGAACCACCUAGAUUGUGUUUUGGGAACUGCAUAUUUGAGUGACAAUCUGUGGUGUCUGAAUUGUACUUUGGAGUCCCUAAAUCAACAUGUUUUAAACACAAGCACUAAGAGGAUGCACUGCAGUGAUGAUUCUUUCCUCCUUUGGCACAAGAGGUUAGGUCACAUAUCCAAAGAAAGAGUUUUAAAACUGUCCAAAGCUCAGUUGAUCCCUGAAUUAAAUCUUGCUACUGCAAUUGAGUGUGUUGAUUGUGCAAAAGGGAAGAUGACUAAUUCUAGAAAGUUAGAUGCCAAAAGGAGCCAGAAUUUGCUAGAUAUCAUACACACUGACAUCUGCGGCCCUUUUCCAACCAAAACUAUUUGCGGUAAUUCUUAUUUUGUCAACUUUAUUGAUGAUUUCUCAAGGUUUUGUUACACUUAUUUAAUUAGUGAGAAAUCAUCGGUCCUUGAUUAUUUCAAAAUUUAUAAAACUGAGGUAGAAAAACAAUUAGGCAAGACCAUUAAGAUUGUUAGAUCGGAUAGAGGAGGAGAGUAUUUUGGCAGGUACAGUGAGACUGGACAACACAAGGGUCCGUUUGCGCUUUAUCUUGAACAACAAGGCAUUGUUGCUCAAUACACUACACCAGGAACACCACAGCAAAACGGAGUUUCAGAAAGGAGGAAUCAAACUUUGAUUGGAAUGGUACGAAGCAUGAUGACAAGAUCAAAGUUACCAGGAUUCCUAUGGGGUGAAGCAUUGAAGACAACCACUUAUAUACUGAACAGAGUUCCGAGCAAAGCGGUUUCAUCAACACCUUUUGAAAUCUGGAAUGGCAGGAAGCCCAGUUUUAGUCAUUUCCAUGUUUAGGGAUGUAAAGCUGAGGCUAGAAUUUACAAUCCAAAUGAGAAGAAAUUGGACUCAAGGACAGAAUCAUGUUAUUUCAUUGGCUACUCAAAGAAAUCUAAAGGCUUCAAGUUUUAUUGUCCUCAAGCUCACACCAGGAUUCAUGAAACUCACAAUGCUAGGUUCUUUGAAGAUCAAGAUAUUGCAGACUUAUCGCAGGGCAGGUUCAUUUUUUAAGAAAUUGAUCAAAAUGAGAAGUCCUUUUACAGUAAUUCUUACAAAGAAAUGUUGAUCACUCCCGCUUCCAUGAUUGAAUUGGAGGAAGAACAAUUAGACUGUCCAGAAAAUAUUGACAGAAUGGAAAUUGAUCUUGGGUCCCAACCACAGCAACAAGGGGAUCCAACUCCAACUAAUGAUGCACCAAUGAAUCCGAGCACUGAAGUUCUCCAUGAUCCGACAUUACCAUUGAGACAAUCUUCAAGAAUCAGAAAAACCACAAUGUCAAAUGACUAUGUUUAUUUGCAGGAGCAUGAGUUUGAUUUUGGUGAUGUGGAUGACCCUCUCACUUAUUCUCAGGCCAUGAAUAGUUCUCAACAAUCCUUAUGGCACAGUGCAAUGAAGGAGGAAUUGGAGUCGAUGUCCAAAAACGAAGUAUGGACAUUAGUGGAUUCCAAUCCUCAAUUCAAGGCUAUUGGGUGUAAAUGGGUUUACAAGACCAAAAGAGAUGCUCACGGCAAUAUUGAAAGGUACAAGGCAAGGUUAGUUGCCAAGGGAUUCACUCAGAGGGAAGGGGUGGAUUACAAUGACACAUUUUCUCCCGUCUCUUCCAAAGAUUCUAUUAGGGUCAUAAUGGCACUUGUUGCUCAUUACAAUCUGGAACUGCAUCAAAUGGAUGUUAAAACUGCCUUUCUUAAUGGUGAACUGGCCGAAGACAUUUAUAUGAAGCAGCCUCCUGGAUUUGUUGAAAAGGGGAAAGAAGACAUGGUUUGUAAACUUAACAAGUCAAUCUACGGGCUUAAACAGGCAUCAAGACUGUUCUUAAAGUUUGAUCAAGUAGUUACGAGACAAGGUUUUGUGGAAAACAAAUUAGAUGAUUGCAUCUAUGUUAAGUUUUCAGGCACUAAUUUUAUAUUUUUAGUGUUGUAUGUCGAUGACAUCCUCCUUGCCAGUUCUAACAUGAAGCUGCUCAAAGACACUAAGACCAUGCUCAGUAAGAAUUUUGAAAUGAAGGACCUUGGUGAAGCACACUAUGUACUUGGUAUUGAAAUUGUUCGAGAUAGAUCAAGAAAUUUACUCGAUUUAUCACAAAAGGGAUACAUAGAAAGGGUACUCAUGAGGUUCAAUAUGUCAAGCUGCAGUAAUGGUGAAGUGCCAGUAAACAAGGGAGACAGAUUCUCAAAGGCUCAAUGUCCCAAGAUGCCUAUGGAGAUAGAUAAAAUGAAAAAUAAGCCUUAUGCUUCAUUGGUGGGAAGUUUGAUGUAUACAACUAUCUGCACUAGACCGGACAUUGCUUUUAUAGUUGGAAUGUUGGGCAGGUUUCAAGCAAAUCCAGGAGAGACACAUUGGGUAGCAGCAAAGAAAGUUUUGAGGUACUUGCAAAGAACCAAGAACUAUAUGUUGGUUUAUGGCAGGAAUGAGCUAUUGGAGUUAGUUGGCUACACUGAUUCUGAUUUAGCCGGUGAUGUAGAUGAUAGAAAAUCUAUUGGAGGUUAUAUCUUUAUGCUAAGUGGUGGUGCAGUCUCUUGGAAAAGUGCAAAACAGACUAUCAUCGCAACAUCGACAAUGGAGGCAGAAUUUAUAGCUUGUUUUGAAGGAAUGAAACAAGCUGUAUGGUUGAAAAACUUUGUGACAGAUUUGAAAAUUGUAAAUUUUGUGCAAAGGCCUAUCAUAAUGUAUUGUGAUAACAAUUCUGCAGUAUUUUUUAGCAAGAACAAUAAGAGAACUUCAGCUUCAAGACUGAUGGAUGUAAAAUUCCUCAAGGUCCGAGAAAAGGUUAGAGAAGGAGCAAUUCAGGUGGAGCACUUAAGCACAAAUGCAAUGAUUGCGGAUCCUUUGACUAAGGCAUUGUCGAUUGGUGUAUUUAAAACGCAUGUCUCUCGGAUGGGAAUACUUGAAUCAUUUGAUCAGUAGGAGUGAUUUGUUAGUCUUAUUAUGACUGUUUAUUUGCCGCUGUGAAGUUCAGAGAGCUGGUGCGGUAAUAUAGACAGGUUUCAAAUUCCAAAUUUUAAAAGCUUAUGGCUGGAUAUUGAGAGUAUUAGGUUUGUUAGUUUUGUUUUGUUUAUUUUAUCGAAUUGAGAUCAGUUAUGAUGAUCUAUUGCUUCGACCAAAAUAAAGUUUGAUAUAAUUCAUUUGUUGCUUUUAUAAUGGUUUAUCUGUUUAAAGCAUUUAGUGAUGAAUUGUUGAUUCAUGCAUUGUUUUGAAGCAAAGAUUUGUUUUUCAUCUUGCUGACAAUGGUUUAAAAUAGUGGGAGCAAAUUAUUUUGCUGAUAUUGAUCCAGUUCACAACGUUGAGCAUACAAAUUGAUUGUCUGUGACUCUUGAAAAACUGUUUGCUUUAUUGUGGUAAUACAGUUACAAGCGUUCUGCAUUUUGAGAUGUAUGAUAGCUGGUUGUGAUUGAAAUUUUAUUAACAAGAUUAGUGAUCACUUCUAUCUGAACAUAAUUGACUUGGCCGAGUACUUAAACUGUUCUUAUACUCAAGUGGGAGAAUGUAAGAAUGUGAAUAUAAGAUAGAGGAAUUUUAGGACCGGCUAUAGGUGUUCAAUAAGAUAGAAAAGUCUUGUUAAUAAAAGGAAUGCUAAUCCCUUUUGUAGAGGGAUUCUGUACAGCAUGAAGAUCAGAACAAGGAAACAAGAAUUUGUUUCCUAUAUGGAUUUUGAUAGGGAAUCCUAAUCAGUUAUGGUAAAGAUUAUAUGUAUAUAUAUAGUGGCCUCUCUUCUCACAGGGACAUGCUCAUUAUUUUGGACUUAAUCCUAUUUAUAAGUCGAGCUCUUGAUAACCUGCGAGAGAAGAGAAGGUACACUGAAAGCUUGCUGCUAUGGCUUCGGAUUCUGCUACAAGUGCAGGUAUGUUCUUCUUGCUGUGUUUUCUCAUAUACAUAAAUUGAAUAUUUCUCUCUAAGUUGUAGUUCAUGUUUUGGUCUUGGUGAUUAUGAUUAAGGGUCUUACAAUAUAUAUAGUGGUAUUGGUACAAGUAUACUACUACUGAAUAUAGGAUUGACCAGUGAUAUCAAGGUCUCGGUCGCCGGUGGAAGGUGGGGGUGUGUGCUUGGGGGGUUGAGUGGUGGCUUCAGCUGGUCCGUCGGCACUCUGGCUGUCACUGGCCCGUGGUUUUGCUUUUUCUUUUGCAGGCUGAUCUGGCUCUCUACCGUACAUUCCACCGCCAUAGGCUUCAUAUGUUAAUGGCUUCAUCCUUGAUAUUUCACUAUGACUACCACCACCUCCAUCCUCCUCCUUCUUCUGCUUAACCUCCUCCCGUCUCUGCUUCUCCCUUUCCUUUUCCAUUUUCUGAUGAUCCAUUGAUUC
rnacentral:lncRNA from 1 species